rnacentral:misc_RNA from 1 species
GCCAUGGCCAUGGCGGGAGGUAGUUGAGGCGGUAGUGUAAGUUUUGUUUUUUUGAGGGGUGGGAGGUAGGAAGGGAUGGGUGGCAGGGGUAAAAUGGCUUGGGAAGAGCUUCCUGCUGAUUUGAGUUUGAGUGUGAGGUUGUUGGAGUGGCGUGAAAUGUGUAGGACUACCCUGAAAGAUCUCAUGACCGGACCAUGUACAGGAGGACCACCCCCUGGAAAGGACGAUCUGAAGGAUCAAACGACCAGACCAUCUUCAGGAGGACCACCCCCUGGAGGACGAUCCGGAGGACGACCUGAUGGAUCCCUCGACUGAAUCAUCUACAGGAGGACCACCCCCUAGAGAGGAUGAUCCGAAGGAUCCAAUGAUCGGACCAUCUUCAGGAGGACUAUCCCCUGGAGGACGACCCGAUGAAUCUCACGACCGGACCAUUUACAGGAGGUAUUUGUGAAAUAUGUUUAUUCAGUAAAAUUGGAAAAAUACAUACUCUUGGGACUGAGUUCGAUGCAAAAGUUUUAUUUUUGCGCUAAGAUGAACAAACAAUUGGUAAAAUGUAGUUAUUGACAGAUUUUUAAAAAUAUCCUCCUUUCUUUUUAAACCAUAAGUAAACAAUAUUAUGGCGACUCUAUUUUGUUUUCAUAAACAAAAGAAAGUGUGUAGAUGAAAGUGGAUAUUCUUAAUUAUAUAUAUCUUCAUUACCAGGACCACCCCCAGGAGAGGAGGUCGACCUGAAAGAUCCUAUAACCGGACCAUCUUCAGAAGGUAUUUAAAAAAGUCAACUCUUGGAACGUUAUUUGUUUCAUUAUUUCAGUUAUUUAAACGGGAUACCUAGCCGUGCUGGUUGGGUUCCGUUAAAUUAAGUUUUAUUUUUGCACUUAAAUGGAAAGAGAAAAUGAUUUAAUAUAUUUCUUUCCUUUUAAAUCAGUAGUAUAAACGUUUUUAUGGCAACUCUUUAUUUUCUGAAAUAGAAAGAAAAAAAACUAGAUGAAAGGAGAUAUUCUUAACACACAUCUUCAUCACCAGGACCUCCACCUGGAGAGGAGGACGACCCCUGGGAUCCCACGACUGGACCAUCUUCAGCAGGUAUUUGUCAUUGAAAUAUCUUUUGGAACAUUAUUUCCCCAUUUUUUUCUAUAAAAUUAGAAAAAGUACCUAUUUGUGGUAGUGAGUCCAAUGUAAAAGAUUUAUUUUUGCACUUUGGUGAAAAAUAAAAAUGUGAAAAUGUAUUUACCUACAGAUUUAUAUAAAUGAGCUCCUUUCCUUUUAAACCAAAAUAAACAAUACUGUUGCGAUUCUUUGUUCUCUAAAACAAAAGAACAGUGUUUAGAUUCAAGUGGACACUUUUAAUUGACACGUCUUCAUCACCAGGUCCACCCCUUGGAGAGGACGACCUGAAGGAUCCUAAGACCAGACCAUCUUCCGAAGGUAAUUGUCAUUGGAAUAUCUCUUUGAACAUUAUUUGUCCAUUUCUUCAUCACUAAUUUUAGUACCAUUAGAAAAAUGUAUAUUCGUAUAAUUUCAUUCAAGGUAAGUUUUAUUUUUGCACUUUGGUGAAAAAUGUAAAUGGUAAAACAUAUGUACUAACAGAUUUUUGUAAAAUUUCUUCUUAAACAAACACAUUUUCAUCACCAGGACCACUCCCUGGAAGACGAUCCGGAGGACGACCUGAUGGAUCCCACGACCGGACCAUCGACAGGAGGUAUUUGUCUGUGAAAUAUGUCUUGAAACAUUAUUUAUUAUUUCAAUAACAUUUGUAAAAUACCCACUGGUUCAAUGCAAAAGUUACAUUUUUGCACUUAGGUGAAAAAAGAAAGUAAAACGUAUUUACUGACAAAUUUUUAUAGAUAUCCCCCUUCCCUUUUAAACCAUAAGUAAAAAACAUUAUAGCGAUUCUUUUUGUUUUCUAAAACAACAAAAAAAAUUUGUGUAGAUGAAAGUUGAUACUUUUAAUAAACACACGUGUUCAUCACCAGGACAACCCCCUGGAGAGGAGGAUGACCUGACGAUCCUACGAUCGGACCAUCAUCAGGAGGACGUACGUCUGGAGUGGAGGAUGACCCACAAGAUCCCAGGACCGGACCAUCUUUAGGGCCUCCACCUGAAGAGGAGGGCAACCCGGAGGACUACCCCGGAAGAUCCCACAACCGGACCAUCUUCAGGAGACGGCCGGAACUUUGGUGACAUCAGACGGUCUCUUCACUUUUCUGGUCCAACAAGUAUCAUAAUGGUCUGUGGCUACGUUUUCCACAUAUCACACUCAGGCUUAAAUUGAUGCAGUGGGGCAGUAGAGAUAUCCAGAUAGGUUGAUAGGGAGCUAGGUGGUUAGGCUAGGUUCAGAGUAGGAUUUCGUAG